AUUGAACGCUGGCGGCAGGCUUAACACAUGCAAGUCGAGCGGUAACAGAGAUAGCUUGCUAUCUGCUGACGAGCGGCGGACGGGUGAGUAACGCGUAGGAAUCUACCUAGUAGUGGGGGACAACAGUUGGAAACGACUGCUAAUACCGCAUACGCCCUACGGGGGAAAGCAGGGAUCUUCGGACCUUGCGCUAUUAGAUGAGCCUGCGUCGGAUUAGCUAGUUGGUGGGGUAAUGGCCUACCAAGGCGACGAUCCGUAGCUGGUCUGAGAGGAUGAUCAGCCACACUGGGACUGAGACACGGCCCAGACUCCUACGGGAGGCAGCAGUGGGAUAUUGCACAAUGGGCGAAAGCCUGAUGCAGCCAUGCCGCGUGUGUGAAGAAGGCUCUAGGGUUGUAAAGCACUUUC
rnacentral:rRNA from 1 species